UACGUAGGUGACAAGCGUUGUCCGGAUUUACUGGGCGUAAAGAGCUCGUAGGUGGUUCGGUAAGUCGGAUGUGAAAUCUCCAGGCUCAACCUGGAGGGGUCAUUCGAUACUGCCGUGACUAGAGGUCGGUAGGGGAGUGUGGAAUUCCUGGUGGAGCGGUGAAAUGCGCAGAUAUCAGGAGGAACACCCGUAGCGAAGGCGGCACUCUGGGCCGAUACUGACACUGAGGAGCGAAAGCGUGGGGAGCGAACAGG
rnacentral:rRNA from 1 species